UACGGGGGGGGUAAGCGUUGUUCGGAAUUACUGGGCGUAAAGGGCUCGUAGGCGGCCAACUAAGUCAGACGUGAAAUCCCUCAGCUUAACUGAGGAACUGCGUCUGAUACUGGAUGGCUUGGAUUCGGGAGAGGGAUGCGGAAUUCCAGGUGUAGCGGUGAAAUGCGUAGAUAUCUGGAGGAACACCGGUGGCGAAGGCGGCAUCCUGGACCGACACUGACGCUGAGGCGCGAAAGCUAGGGUAGCAAACGGG
rnacentral:rRNA from 1 species